rnacentral:rRNA from 1 species
CCUACGGGAGGCUGCAGUGAGGAAUAUUGGUCAAUGGACGGAAGUCUGAACCAGCCAUGCCGCGUGCAGGAUGACGGCCCUAUGAGUUGUAAACUGCUUUUGUAUAAGGGUAAACCUUUACACGUGUAUUCUGCUGUAUGUACCGUACGAAUAAGGAUCGGCUAACUCCGUGCCAGCAGCCGCGGUAAUACGGAGGAUCCAAGCGUUAUCCGGAUUUAUUGGGUUUAAAGGGAGCGUAGGUGGCGUUGGAAGUCAGUAGUGAAAGGCCGGGGCUCAACCGCGAGAGUGCAGUUGAAACUGGAUGGCUGGAGUGCAGGAGAGGGAGGUGGAAUUCGUGGUGUAGCGGUGAAAUGCGUAGAUAUUAGGAAGAACACCGGUGGCGAAGGCGGCUUGCUGGACUGUAACUGACGCUGAGGCUCGAAAGCGUGGGGAGCAAACAGGAUUAGAUACCCCAGUAGUC